AAGUCGUAACAAGGUUUCCGUAGGUGAACCUGCGGAAGGAUCAUUAACAAAUUUUAUUUAAAAAGAAAAACAACCGUGCAAAGAGAUUGAGGGGGGGGUGUUACACCUAUUCAUUCUUCUAUUCUAUAAAAAAACCUUUAAAAAUGUAGUCAAUUUUAUACAUAAUAAUAUAUAUAUAACUUUUAACAAUGGAUCUCUUGGCUCUC
rnacentral:misc_RNA from 1 species